rnacentral:sRNA from 1 species
AGGGAUCAUUACCGAGUUUACAACUCCCAAACCCCUGUGAACAUACCAAUUGUUGCCUCGGCGGAUCAGCCCGCUCCCGGUAAAACGGGACGGCCCGCCAGAGGACCCCUAAACUCUGUUUCUAUAUGUAACUUCUGAGUAAAACCAUAAAUAAAUCAAAACUUUCAACAACGGAUCUCUUGGUUCUGGCAUCGAUGAAGAACGCAGCAAAAUGCGAUAAGUAAUGUGAAUUGCAGAAUUCAGUGAAUCAUCGAAUCUUUGAACGCACAUUGCGCCCGCCAGUAUUCUGGCGGGCAUGCCUGUUCGAGCGUCAUUUCAACCCUCAAGCCCUCGGGUUUGGUGUUGGGGAUCGGUGAGCCCUUGCGGCAAGCCGGCCCCGAAAUCUAGUGGCGGUCUCGCUGCAGCUUCCAUUGCGUAGUAGUAAAACCCUCGCAACUGGUACGCGGCGCGGCCAAGCCGUUAAACCCCCAACUUCUGAAUGUUGACCUCGGAUCAUGUAGGAAUACCCGCUGAACUUAAG